AGUGAACGCUGGCGGUAGGCCUAACACAUGCAAGUCGAACGGCAGCACAGUAAGAGCUUGCUCUUACGGGUGGCGAGUGGCGGACGGGUGAGGAAUACAUCGGAAUCUACUUUUUCGUGGGGGAUAACGUAGGGAAACUUACGCUAAUACCGCAUACGACCUACGGGUGAAAGCAGGGGAUCUUCGGACCUUGCGCGAUUGAAUGAGCCGAUGUCGGAUUAGCUAGUUGGCGGGGUAAAGGCCCACCCAGGCGACGAUCCGUAGCUGGUCUGAGAGGAUGAUCAGCCACACUGGAACUGAGACACGGUCCAGACUCCUACGGGAGGCAGCAGUGGGGAAUAUUGGACAAUGGGCGCAAGCCUGAUCCAGCCAUACUGCGUGGGUGAAGAAGGCCUUCGGGUUGUAAAGCCCUUUUGUUGGGAAAGAAAAGCAGCAGGUUAAUACCCCGCUGUUCUGACGGUACCCAAAGAAUAAGCACCGGCUAACUUCGUG
rnacentral:rRNA from 1 species